rnacentral:lncRNA from 10 species
AUGUGCGCCCCGCCUCGCUGCAGGGAAGGCCGAGCAAGCCAGGCCAAGAGGGCACUGGACGUCGAGUCUCACCUCCUUUUCCUCCCGUCUCCUCCCUCUCACCAAGUGACACCGCUCCCUCUCAAACGGAAGGAAGGGGAAGAGGAUGCUAAGCUGACAUAAUGGAAGUCUGGAGCUGCCUGUGACCAAGGUUUCCCCUGUGUAGAAGCCUACUGUCGGAAAAAAUGAGGCCAGCACACAGAGACUGAGAGGAGUGGAGAAAGAGAGCUGGGUUGGGAGGAGAAGAAAAGGAUCUUGAUGGUGAUCACGUCCUUGGUUCUAGUGCUUAAAGUCCCCAGGGUCCUGCAACUCUCUGAGUUCCUUCUAGGACAUUCAAUUUUGGGAUUAAAUUGGUCACUUCAUCAGAAA